AUUGAACGCUGGCGGCAGGCCUAACACAUGCAAGUCGAACGAGUGGCGGACGGGUGAGUAAUGUCUGGUAAACUGCCCGAUGGAGGGGGCUAACUACUGGAAACGGUAGCUAAUACCGCAUACCAUCGGAUGUGCCCAGAUGGGAUUAGCUUGUAGGUGAGGUAACGGCGCACCUAGGCGACGAUCCCUGGCUGUUCUGAGAGGAUGACCAGCCACACUGGAACUGAGACACGGUCCAGACUCCUACGGGAGGCAGCAGUGGGGAAUAGUGCACAAUGGGCGCAAGCCUGAUGCAGCCAUGCCGCGUGUAUGAAGAAGGCCGUCGGGUUGGAAAGUACUUUCAGCGGGGAGGCGUUACCCGCAGAAGAAGCACCGGCUAACUCCGUGCCAGCAGCCGCGGUAAUAC
rnacentral:rRNA from 1 species